UGGCGGACGGGUGAGAAACGCGUGGGUAAUCUACCCUUGGAUUUGGGAUAACUUCGCGAAAGUGGAGCUAAUACCGGAUAGUCUGGCUUUAAAUAAGAAGUCGGUAAAGGAUGCCUCUGCAUAUGCAUUCGUCCGAGGAUGAGCCCGCGUCUCAUUAGCUAGUUGGUAGGGUAAUGGCCUACCAAGGCAACGAUGAGUAGCUGGUCUGAGAGGAUGAUCAGCCACACUGGAACUGAAACACGGUCCAGACUCCUACGGGAGGCAGCAGUGGGGAAUAUUGCGCAAUGGGCGAAAGCCUGACGCAGCAACGCCGUGUGAGGGAUGAAGGCUUUCGGGUCGUAAACCUCUGUCGGAAGGGAAGAACGGGCAUUGGUCUAAUAGGCCUUUGUUUUGACGGUACCUUUAGAGGAAGCACCGGCUAACUCCGUGCCAGCAGCCGCGGUAAUA
rnacentral:rRNA from 1 species